rnacentral:lncRNA from 1 species
GCAUUCUACCUUUUCCUACAAUGAAUCCACCAGCAGAAAUUCCUGUACACAUCUUAUCAACAAAGAAUUUGAACCUCAAAGAGACUAGCAAGUACACAGGACCACUGUACAGUAACAGAUCAGUUACACUGAGACAACAGAGUUUACAGCAGAGAAAGAGUUUAAUGCUCACCGGAUACCAAGUGGCUCAAAGAGGUCAGGAGGCACCUUCAACACUUUUAUUGGAGAUCUCCUUGUCUAGAUCAUCAGAUUCUCACUGUGUUACCUAGGCUGCAGUGCAGUGGUGCGAUCUCAACUCACUGCAACCUCUACCUCCUGGGUUCAAGCAAUUCUCCUGCCUCAGCCUCCCAAGUAGCUGGGAUUACAGGUGAGUGCCACCACGCCUGGCUAAUUUUUGUAUUUUUAGUAGAAACAGGUUUCUCCAUGUUGGCUAGGCUGGUCUCAAACUCCUUACCUCAGGUGAUCCACCUUGCCUCAGCCUCCCAAAGUGCUGCAGUUACAGGUGUAAGCCACUGCCUGGCCUAAGAUAUUUAUUUUAAAUUGUAUUUAUGGUUAGAAAAAAUAUUCAUUUAUAGUGAUGUAAAUUAUCUGAUUGAUUAAAAGGUAAGGAUGUAAGGGCUGAACUAAUGUUAGCCCUGAUGUCAACCCCUGACACCAUUUUUUUUUAACACAGUAAAUACGGAGUGGCUACUAUGUGCCCAACUCUGUGUUCGGCUGGGUAUAAAACAAAAUGAAAGAUGAAACAGCUGCCCUUAGGAAGCAUACAGUCUCCUUGGGUUGAUGGACAUGUGGUCAGCUAAUUACAUUACAGCCUAAUUACUGUUCUGAUGGAGGUAUCUGAGGAAUGCCCCAGGGCAUGGAAAAGAGGCUGAUGGCAGGAGUGGAGGGAGGAGAUUAGAGAUGGGUUUAGAGGGAAGAUGAUGAGCUCAGCCUGAGCUGAGGUAUGAAGGAUGAAAUUAAGCUGGUUUGGUGGAGAAGAGGGGUUGGAUCAUCCUGAUCAAAUGGGCAGCUCAGGGAAAGCCAUGAGAGCCUGAGAGAGGAGCUGGGAGGCUGGGAGGCUUUUCUGUACUGUUGAGGCACGGAGCAUGAUAGGUCUGGGAGAGAAGAGGCUGUAGGAGGCAGGGAUAGACUGUGAAAGAAUUGCAGACUCUCAACAAGUUUUAGAUUUUGUCUUAAUGAUUACGAAGCAUCACUGAAUCAUUUUAAGCAAGACACUGACAUAAUCAGAUAUUAUCGCAUAAUCAGAAUCAUAGCAGUGGAGUCUAGUUUUGAAGGUAGUGAAUUUGGAAGAAAGAGUUUUGACUGGUGGGAGGUAACUGCAGUACUCUAAGGGAAACACAACAGGGUUUGAGCUGUAGCUAAUACUGGUACCAUAUUUAUCAGGUCAUGCUAUGACGUGUCAUUUUCAUGUGUUCACUCAUGGUAAAUUUCUUCACGUGUGUUUUUUCCCCCUUCAUCCACUUAUAGGUGAGGAGACUGGUGUUAAGUAACUCGCCCAUCCAUGACCGCAUCAGUGGUUGAAAUGGGAUUGGAAUCUGGUCUUAAUCACUCUUCCAUAAUGCCUCCAUGGCAAGGGUGGCAGAGAGGAAGAAUUAUGCUGAGGAAGUAGAACUGACUAGAAGUCAUGAACAAUGCUUGGUGAUUAGAUUCUAGAAUGGACGAAUAAGGCUCUGCUUUGCUCCCAAGCUUCUGUGUCAGUAAUGGCUUCAUUCAUCUACACAGGGAACAGAGGAUGGAGAGGUGAUGUCUUCAGGCUAGGGCAUGUACAGGGUGACCAAAUCUGACCUUGUAUUGUGCAAACUCAGGACUUUCGUAGAGGAAAGGAGUCACCAUCCAGAGGGAUGCCAGAUAAAAAUGUACAAUGGGACUAAGCCAGGCAAACAGUGGCACAUGUUCACGUUAGACAUGUGGAAUCUGAUAUUUCUGUAAGAAAUACAGAAGAACAUGGGAAAAAUGGCAACAGAGGCCUAAAACUCUGCAGAAAUGGCUGAUCUUAUAAUUUGUGAACUGUUAUUUAUGGUUGUUGGUGGAGCCCAUGGUAGUGAAGGAGAUGGCUCAGGGAGACAACAUUAAAGGCGAUAAGGAGAAAAACUAAUGAUCAAAUUCUAGUGAAUGAAAGGGAAGUAAGGAUAGUAAGUAUAAUAAUAGAGUUUCAAAUUAACAUUUAAUUUUAAAAUUAAUUAUAUGCUACUACUGUUUAUUAUUUAACCCUUCCCUUCCAAGUUAAUUUCAUUUACACUAUUCAUGAGGCUACACAGUUUAGUAAAGGGUCCAUUUAAGCAGGAUGAAUUUAACUCACUAAUUUCAGAAUGAAAGCAAAAGCUCUCUGCAUCUAUGCUGAAUUAUUUGACAUAAAUAGCUGUCUUGCUACAGAAAGCAAAUAGAGUACACUCUCCACUAUAAUUAGAAUUAACAUCAGAUACUCCUAGAAUCUUUCUUUGGCAAUAAAAUUCUUUUGCCUCA